rnacentral:tRNA from 1 species
GCUGGGGUGGCUCAGUGGUAGAGCACUUGCUUGGCAUGUGAGAGGCACUGGGUUUGAUCCUCAGCACCACUU